GACCAGACUCCUACGGGAGGCAGCAGUGAGGAAUAUUGGUCAAUGGGCUUACGCCUGAACCAGCCAAGUCGCGUGAGGGAAGACUGCCCUAUGGGUUGUAAACCUCUUUUGUCAGGGAGCAAAGAGAGUCACGUGUGACUCAUUGAGAGUACCCGAAGAAAAAGCAUCGGCUAACUCCGUGCCAGCAGCCGCGGUAAUACGGAGGAUGCGAGCGUUAUCCGGAUUUAUUGGGUUUAAAGGGUGCGCAGGCGGAAUGUCAAGUCAGCGGUAAAAUUUCGGGGCUCAACCCCGUCGUGCCGUUGAAACUGGCGUUCUUGAGUGAGCGAGAAGUAUGCGGAAUGCGUGGUGUAGCGGUGAAAUGCAUAGAUAUCACGCAGAACUCCGAUUGCGAAGGCAGCAUACCGGCGCUCAACUGACGCUCAUGCACGAAAGCGUGGGUAUCGAACAGGAUUAGAUACCCUAGUA
rnacentral:rRNA from 1 species